GACGAACGCUGGCGGCGUGCUUAACACAUGCAAGUCGAACGGAAAGGCCCUGCUUUUGUGGGGUGCUCGAGUGGCGAACGGGUGAGUAACACGUGAGUAACCUGCCCUUGGCUUUGGGAUAACUUCAGGAAACUGGGGCUAAUACCGGAUAGGAGCUCCUGCUGCAUGGUGGGGGUUGGAAAGUUUCGGCGGUUGGGGAUGGACUCGCGGCUUAUCAGCUUGUUGGUGGGGUAGUGGCUUACCAAGGCUUUGACGGGUAGCCGGCCUGAGAGAGUGACCGGCCACAUUGGGACUGAGAUACGGCCCAGACUCCUACGGGAGGCAGCAGUGGGGAAUAUUGCACAAUGGGCGGAAGCCUGAUGCAGCAACGCCGCGUGCGGGAUGACGGCCUUCGGGUUGUAAACCGCUUUCGCCUGUGACGAAGCGUGAGUGACGGUAAUGGGUAAAGAAGCACCGGCUAACUACGUG
rnacentral:rRNA from 1 species